CUCUCUUCAGCAGCCGAAACCUAAACCUAAAGGGAUCUUGAAGAAUCAUUCUUCAUUGUCAAUGGAUUUGGCAAAUGAAGAUUUCAUUGUAUACAAAUGGGUUUACCAAUGAAGGAUUUGCAAAACUGCAAAUAGGAUGUCUGCAAGGCAAUCAGAACACUAACACACUGGAAGAGACCUUCGGUCUCAUUAGUUUGCCCUCCUCGUCUCCCAGCUCCUCCAAAUCUUGUAUCUUUCACAAAAGCUACAAGAGGUUAUGGAGGCAGGGGAGCAGGCCAAUGAUAAAAAUGGCGUAGCAGUAGCUUAUACAUUUGUUGUGAGGGAGAACUCCUCGAUGUUGUUUUGACUCUGCAAGUCUCAUUUAAAAAAAAAGAUUCAACUAUUGCAUUCAACAAGUCUCACUAUGAAGAACUCAAUUCAAUUAACAAGAGAAUCGUGUUUUACAAGGAGCUUUGUUGCGUUUAGGAAGCGAGUAUAUUUUCCCCGCAAAGAAAUCAUAAUAAGGUGAUUAGCUGUUGUGUUUUGAAGCUCGUACUGUUCG